rnacentral:sRNA from 1 species
AACAGAUUUCUGAAAUGAGCACCACAGCCUCUUGCUCGCAUCUUUCUUGGUUGGAGGAGGAUUUAUUUCUCCCCUUCAAGGCUCAUUCCGAGUUCACAAAGGAUCACUACUGCUGUUGUCUGGCAGGUCUGUGCAUGCCUUGCCAAGCCUGUCUUUUAUACUGGUCAGGCACCUUCAGAAUCAGAACAAAGGUUUACCAAAGAUGCAGGUCAUUAGGAACUAUUCUGGAACACCACCCCCAGCUCUGCAUGAAGGACCCCCUUUACACCUCCAGGCCGGGGAUACCGUUGAACUUCUGAAAGGAGAUGCACACAGUCUGUUUUGGCAGGGCAGAAAUUUGGCAUCUGGAGAGGUUGGAUUUUUUCCAAGUGAUGCAGUCAAGCCUUGCCCAUGUGUGCCCAAACCAGUAGAUUAUUCUUGCCAACCCUGGUAUGCUGGAGCAAUGGAAAGAUUGCAAGCAGAGACUGAACUUAUUAACAGGGUAAAUAGUACUUACCUUGUGAGGCACAGGACCAAAGAGUCAGGAGAAUAUGCAAUUAGCAUUAAGUACAAUAAUGAAGCAAAGCACAUCAAGAUUUUAACAAGAGAUGGUUUUUUUCACAUUGCAGAAAAUAGAAAAUUUAAAAGUUUAAUGGAACUUGUGGAGUACUACAAGCAUCAUUCUCUCAAGGAAGGGUUCAGAACCUUAGAUACAACUCUGCAGUUUCCAUACAAGGAGCCAGAACAUUCAGCUGGACAGAGGGGUAAUAGAGCAGGCAACAGCUCCCCCUCUUUGUUCUGUGGCUUUUCUUUUGUAACUCCUCCAGACUACAGCUUUGUUCCCCCUUCUUCCACUCCUUUCUGGUCAGUGUUAAGUCCAAAAGUGCUGGGCAUUGCCAUCGCUCGGUAUGACUUCUGUGCAAGAGAUAUGAGAGAGUUGUCCUUGUUGAAAGGAGAUGUGGUGAAGAUUUACACAAAGAUGAGUGCAAAUGGCUGGUGGAGAGGAGAAGUAAAUGGCAGGGUGGGCUGGUUUCCAUCCACAUAUGUGGAAGAGGAUGAAUAAAUUCAAAUCCAGUGUUGCACCCUGCACCAAAAAUUUCAGAGAAGGGAUAAAUAGAAGCCUGCACAGCAUCAUGAAUUAACUGAAGUGUUUAAAAAGCUGCAUUUCUGGCUGUUCAACAUCCUCCCUCCUUAGCCCCUCCUAAGUCUUAAUGCUGAGAUUUCUAAAGAUGCUGGUACUGACAGAUUAAUGGCUUGCCUAGAGCUGUGCAAGAAACAGCCUGCCAGUCUGUCAUUGUCAGGGACCAGGGCAAAACCAAGAGCUGUUCUUCCCAGAAGAGCCCUGCAAACACGUUGGUUCGUGCUUGCCUUUACUUCUUCUGGUCAGAUACCAUGAAUGCCAGUCAUCAGUAAAUCUUAAUACACUUUUGCUUUAUUCUCACAU